CCUACGGGAGACAGCAGUGAGGAAUAUUGGUCAAUGGACGAGAGUCUGAACCAGCCAAGUAGCGUGAAGGAUGACUGCCCUAUGGGUUGUAAACUUCUUUUAUAUGGGAAUAAAAUGUUCCACGUGUGGGAUUUUGUAUGUACCAUAUGAAUAAGGAUCGGUUAACUCCGUGACAGCAGCCGCGGUACUACGGAGGAACCGAGCGUUAUCCGGAUUGAUUGGGUUUAAAGGGUGCGUAGGUGGAUUGUUAAGUCAGUUGUGAAAGUUUGCGGCUCAACCGUAAAAUUGCAGUUGAAACUGGCAGUCUUGAGUACAGUAGAGGUGGGCGGAAUUCGUGGUGUAGCGGUGAAAUGCUUAGAUAUCACGAAGAACUCCGAUUGCGAAGGCAGCUCACUGGACUGCAACUGACACUGAGGCUCGAAAAUGUGGGUAUCAAACAGGAUUAGAUACCCGUGUAGUC
rnacentral:rRNA from 1 species